rnacentral:rRNA from 1 species
GCCAGUGGCAUCGCCGGGUAGCUAUGUUCGGAAGAGAUAACCGCUGAAAGCAUCUAAGCGGGAAACUCGCCUUAAGAUGAGAUAUCCCUGGGGACUAGAUCCCCUUGAAGGGUCGUUCGAGACCAGGACGUUGAUAGGUCAGGUGUGUAAGCGCAGUAAUGCGUUCAGCUAACUGAUACUAAUUGCCCGUAAGGCUUGAUCCUAUAACA